GAGGGUAUAGCUCAGUGGUAGAGCGCGUGCUUAGCCUGUUUGAGAUGCUGGGUUCAGUCCCCAGUGCCUCUG
rnacentral:tRNA from 1 species